rnacentral:rRNA from 1 species
AUGUACGACCACAGAAAGAGGACAACUGCGUAUCCCGUUCGCUCUGCGCUACAUAAGCCUCUUAUCGGCAGCUUAGUAUUACCAUCGGUGACGGGGUGAGAAUCGCUACUGUUGUACAUA